rnacentral:rRNA from 1 species
GUGAAAUUGUUGAAAGGGAAGCGCUUGCAACCAGACCUGCCUGCAGUUGCUCAUCCGGGCUUUUGCCCGGUGCACCCUUCUGCUGUCAGGCCAGCAUCGGUUCGGGCGGUCGGAUAAAGGCUUCGGGAAUGUAGCUCCUCUCGAGGAGUGUUAUAGCCCGUUGCGAAAUGCGGCCAGCCUGAACUGAGGUCCGCGCUUCGGCUAGGAUGCUGGCGUAAUGGUUGUAAGCGGCCCGUCUUGAAACACGGACCAAGGAGUCUAACAUCUGUGCGAGUGUUUGGGUGUCAAACCCGUGCGCGUAAUGAAAGUGAACGGAGGCGGGAACCCCUCGGGGUGCACCGUCGACCGAUCCUGAUGUCUUCGGAUGGAUUUGAGUAAGAGCAUAGCUGUUGGGACCCGAAAGAUGGUGAACUAUGCCUGAAUAGGGUGAAGCCAGAGGAAACUCUGGUGGAGGCUCGCAGCGGUUCUGACGUGCAAAUCGAUCGUCAAAUUUGGGCAUAGGGGCGAAAGACUAAUCGAACUAUCUAGUAGCUGGUUCCUGCCGAAGUUUCCCUCAGGAUAGCAGUAACAUUUUCAGUUUUAUGAGGUAAAGCGAAUGAUUAGAGGCCUGGGGGUUGAAACAACCUUCACCUAUUCUCAAACUUUAAAUAUGUAAGAAGUCCUUGUUACUUAGUUGAACGUGGACAUUUGAAUGUAUCGUUACUAGUGGGCCAUUUUUGGUAAGCAGAACUGGCGAUGCGGGAUGAACCGAACGCGGAGUUAA